rnacentral:rRNA from 1 species
GACGAACGCUGGCGGCGUGCUUAACACAUGCGAGUCGAACGGAAAGGCCCUGCUUUUGUGGGGUGCUCGAGUGGCGAACGGGUGAGUAACACGUGAGUAACCUGCCCUUGACUUUGGGAUAACUUCAGGAAACUGGGGCUAAUACCGGAUAGGAGCUCCUGCUGCAUGGUGGGGGUUGGAAAGUUUCGGCGGUUGGGGAUGGACUCGCGGCUUAUCAGCUUGUUGGUGGGGUAGUGGCUUACCAAGGCUUUGACGGGUAGCCGGCCUGAGAGGGUGACCGGCCACAUGGGCACUGAGAUACGGCCCAGUCUCCUACGGGAGGCAGCAGUGGGGAAUAUUGCACAAUGGGCGGAAGCCUGAUGCAGCAACGCCGCGUGCGGGAUGACGGCCUUCGGGUUGUAAACCGUUUUCGCCUGUGACGAAGCGUGAGUGACGGUAAUGGGUAAAGACGCACCGUCUAACUACG